rnacentral:rRNA from 1 species
UACGGAGGGGGCUAGCGUUGUUCGGAAUGACUGGGCGUAAAGGGCGCGUAGGCGGCUUAUCAAGUCAGGUGUGAAAGCCUUGGGCUUAACCCAAGAAUUGCGCUUGAUACUGAUAAGCUAGAGGAUGAUAGAGGAAAGCGGAAUUCCUAGUGUAGAGGUGAAAUUCGUAGAUAUUAGGAAGAACACCAGAGGCGAAGGCGGCUUUCUGGAUCAUAUCUGACGCUGAGGCGCGAAAGCGUGGGGAGCAAACAGG